rnacentral:rRNA from 1 species
GCUUAUACUCGACCGUCAGCGGCACGUGCGAUCGCCCGCGAGGGCGGUCACGAAGCCCUGACGAGUAGGAGGGUCGCGGCGGUGAGCGCAGAAGGGCUGGCCGCGAGGCCGUCUGGAGCCGCCGUCGGUGCAGAUCUUGGUGGUAGUAGCAAAUACUCCAGCGAGGCCCUGGAGGACUGACGUGGAGAAGGGUUUCGUGUGAACAGCCGUUGCACACGAGUCAGUCGAUCCUAAGCCCUAGGCGAAAGCCGAUGUCGAUGCGGUGUAGUUUUUACCAAAUAUAUUUUUACCAAGUAAUUAUAUUCGAGAGAGCGAGAACACACCCGUCGGGCGAAAGGGAAUCCGGUUCCUAUUCCGGAACCUGGCAGCGGAACCGUCAAUAAGUCGGGC